rnacentral:lncRNA from 1 species
UUUAAAAAAUGCCCAGACUUUUUGCGGUCAUAACAGGUACCCUUUGGAGUAGCAGCAGAGCCCUUAAAUAGGGGUUUGUUUUGAUUUACAGUUAGCUGUUGCAAGUUGAAGGCUAAUGAUGUGCGUGGCUUUCUUUUCACUGUUUUGGUUAUUUUGGUUAUUUCAAGCCAGUGGGACAGGAACCGUGGGACUACGCCAGUGAAACACAUUAUGCACCCAGUGUGCCUCGUGUUGGCUGCUCUCGCGUAACCCCUUCUAUUACGAGGCGGAUCGAAGUUGGGCCCUUCUACAAGCUGGACUUAAAAACAGAGGACCCUGGCUCCAAAAAGCACCAAUGAGCUGCCAGAGUUCCCUGCCAAUAUUGACCAAUCAGGACGAAGUUCUUUCAACCAAUCAGGAUGGGGCACUUUUUUUUCUUUUCCCUCAUUAGCAUAGUGAAACCCAGUGGAAAUGGCCACGCGCACCUGAGCAGGAACUUUAACUCGCCUGUGUUUGUGGAGCAUGAAGGGCCAUGUUCCUCAAACCUACAUCCGGCAGGAGUUCCAGCAGGAAGCUAUCAGAAGUCCCCUUAGAAGAAUUAUUUCCCGUAACAGUACUCACCGAGAACCUGAAACCCGGCUCUCCCACUCAGAAUGGGGGAAGACAGAAGGCUCCCCUCAGCUAUGAGUGAAGACAGAACCGGAACCGGAAUCUGUGUUCCAGGAGGUGGUGGGCGUGCAAUUGACAAGAUGUAGUUGAUUAAAGUCAAAAGUUCACCUCGUGCUGAGAAUUGCAACAGGACAGGUGCAUAGGCGCGGCUUCAGUAUCCUCCAGACCCUGUUUUGAAUGACUCUUUGCAACGCUCACUUCAUUUUGGAACCUUCUUCCACAACAUCAUCACCUACAGACUGUAAUUAUGACAAGCACACAGUAUACCACAGUUCCAAUAUUUGGCUGGAAUGAAACUCAGAUGAGGUCUUCCAGAUGGACUAAGAAUUAAAUCUACACGAGACCCGUGAAUAGGAGGAGGAAAAACUAGGUUUUAUUCAGUGCACGUGGAGGCCUAAUAAUGCAAUUGAGACCCAAAGAAACACCGAAGCAGUUUUUAUGCUUUUCGGACAAAGAGAUAACAAAUUGGUGAGUAAUUGACGGGAUAAAGAAAAUAGAUGUUUGGGAGCUUUAAUUAGCAAGGAAUUAUGAAGUGGAAUUCGGGCCGAGUUAGUAAAUUACAAAAGAAAAAAAAAGUAACAACGUUUGUUUCCACACCUUUCUCAGCUUUAAAGUCUCUGUCUCUGGUGAUAAGGAUGUCUUUUUAACUUCUUAGU